rnacentral:rRNA from 1 species
CAGUCGCCGCGGUAAAACCGAGGGUGCAAGCGUUAAUCGGAAUUACUGGGCGUAAAGCGCGCGUAGGUGGUUUGUUAAGUUGGAUGUGAAAGCCCCGGGCUCAACCUGGGAACUGCAUCCAAAACUGGCAAGCUAGAGUACGGUAGAGGGUGGUGGAAUUUCCUGUGUAGCGGUGAAAUGCGUAGAUAUAGGAAGGAACACCAGUGGCGAAGGCGACCACCUGGACUGAUACUGACACUGAGGUGCGAAAGCGUGGGGAGCAAACAGGAUUAGAUACCCGCGUAGUCCCUGUCUCUUAUAC